GAUUUUUUUUUAUACCUCCCAGAUAGCAAGCAUAGUCGGCCCGAUUCUGGCUGAGUGCUGGCAGUGUCGGCUGAGGUCCGAGUCGGCUGAAGCACAGUAAACACAGUCGGCCCGAUCCUGGCUGAGUGCUGCCACUGUCGGCGGAGUUUCAGGUCGGCUGAGGCACUGUUACCCAUUGAAUGGGCCUACACUGACACGCAGUAGUUGG